GAUGAACGCUGGCGGCGUGCCUAAUACAUGCAAGUCGAGCGAACAGACGAGGAGCUUGCUCCUCUGACGUUAGCGGCGGACGGGUGAGUAACACGUGGAUAACCUACCUAUAAGACUGGGAUAACUUCGGGAAACCGGCGCUAAUACCGGAUAAUAUAUUGAACCGCAUGGUUCAAUAGUGAAAGACGGUUUUGCUGUCACUUAUAGAUGGAUCCGCGCCGCAUUAGCUAGUUGGUAAGGUAACGGCUUACCAAGGCAACGAUGCGUAGCCGACCUGAGAGGGUGAUCGGCCACACUGGAACUGAGACACGGUCCAGACUCCUACGGGAGGCAGCAGUAGGGAAUCUUCCGCAAUGGGCGAAAGCCUGAAGGAGCAACGCCGCGUGAGUGAUGAAGGUCUUCGGAUCGUAAAACUCUGUUAUUAGGGAAGAACAAAUGUGUAAGUAACUAUGCACGUCUUGACGGUACCUAAUCAGAAAGCCACGGCUAACUACGUG
rnacentral:rRNA from 1 species